GUUAGCCCAACCAACCUUCCGGUUUGGUACUUCCGGUCCGCCCGCCUCUGUGGUUUUCCUGGUUUUCCCGCUGGCAGUGACCGAGUUUGCUGUGGACGUGUUAAGUUUCUACGAGGUCGCUGUGCCGUAAAUUUAUCCGCACGAUAGUUAAAUCAUGAGCAGUGACUACUACCGAGCGUUGGACGUCGCACCCAGAGAGCGGUAUCGACAAAAAUUGACUUUCCGCGGGGAAGAGCUGCCGGACCCACUUGAUCCGUCGCUACGCCAGCACGCAUUCGUGACAGGCUCAACCGGCUCGAGGCGGUUACCUUUGGUGCACGUCGGCGACAUUUACGCGUACCUCGUAGAAGGUACGUGUUUCUACUCGAGAGAGCAGUUUAAAAGCUUCAAACUGUCAGAUGGAUACAAUAGUUUUAUCAGCGGCAAGGUUAGGCAACUGCGCUGCUUCAGUGCAGCCGUCGGAGAUAGCGCGGUAGUGCUCGUCGCUGCCGACGUUGAGGCCAGCCAGACCGUAAAGAAAGUGCACCAGCCCUGGACUCUUGUGGGAAAAGAUGGCACCAUAAUCAGCGCCCAUUGCACUUGCAUGGCCGGGUAAGCGUUUUUUCUCAACUGGCAUCCAGGAGUUGAGUUAACGCGCUGUGUGCGUGAUCUAAUCUGUGUGUUUUGCUACAGCCUAGGCGAGGCGUGCAGUCAUGUGUCGGCGCUGCUCUUUCGCGUGGAAGCGGAGGUCAAACACGGACUCAACGACCCAUCGUCCACCUCAAUGGAGUGCCGGUGGAUUUCCCCGUCCACGUCGGCACAGGCUGCUGAAGUCGUUGACAUUCGGUUCGUCAAGCCAGAGACGGCGAGAAAAAAGAAGCGUACUGGGGAUUCAGCCUCGGAAGCCCCAAAGCAGCGUCAGCUGGCCACUGCAACAGAUGACCAGGUGCAAACAUUCCUGAAGAGAGUGAAGGAAAUAGCUCCUAGCACCCUGCUGCUUUCUUCACUGACAGACAGCGAGGAUACAGAUACUUGCAGCGACUCGGAGG